CCUUUGGCUUGCUGUCUUUUACCUAACUAUAAAAGGAAAACAGAUGGGAGUUUUUAAGAGCAGGUUGUGUUUGCUGCUACCUGCCUCAUGUCACCUAUCCGGGAGCUUUCCAGCAGUCUGUUGUUCCACUUACUCUGGUGUGGGAAAGGCACCUUCUGCUGACUCAUCGGUGGAAGAUAAAUGAACUCUUGAUUCCAGCAGUUCACUCUGAUCCUGUUCUUCACGCAGUGGCUUUGCCUGGAUGUCCCUAUAGAGCACCUCCACAUGUGAGACUGUGCCCAGACAGCAGACCCAAAUGCACAGGCCCUGGCAGUCUGCUUUCUGGCCCUGAAGCAAGCCAGAUACCUCCCUGUAAUUUCACAUAUCCAUGUCAAUUUUGUUUGGAUACGUGAUUUCAAUGCUCCUGAGAAGGGCAUUGCCAGCUCGUGAAAUCUGUUGCUUACUCAGAGAAGAAGGUCAUGAAAAUAUGUGACUUGCUGCUUCCAAGAUUAUUGCUGCACCCCCACCUGAAAAGAAGCCCUGCUGCUUUGCAGGGAUGAAGAGCAGGAGGUAAGGUCAUCCUGAGAUGGAUUAGAAGGUCAACCUAUCUCUCCUUGCAGGAGAAGUCUCCAAGCUGGGAUGGGAGCAGAGCCAGCCCAGGGAGGCACAGGGGUUAGGGUCAUCACUGGGGUUCAG
ensembl:lncRNA